CGCGUUUACCCUGUAGCACCCUACCCUGUAAGACACCUACCCUGUAGGACUUACCCGGUGGCACCUACCCGGUAGAUGCGGGUAAGCCUGCCGGUGGCCCAUAAGAAAAAAAAAUUCUGUUUUUGGCAUUGUAAUUCUGAAUACUAUAACUAAAUCAGUUAAAACUUUCAACAACGGAUCUCUUGGUUCUGGCAUCGAUGAAGAACGCAGCGAAAUGCGAUAAGUAAUGUGAAUUGCAGAAUUCAGUGAAUCAUCGAAUCUUUGAACGCACAUUGCGCCCAUUAGUAUUCUAGUGGGCAUGCCUGUUCGAGCGUCAUUUCAACCCUUAAGCCUUUGUUGCUUAGUGUUGGGAGCCUACAGCACUGUAGCUCUCUAAAGUUAGUGGCGGAGUCGGCUCACAGCUCUAGACGUAGUAAUUCUUUUCUCGCCUUUGUGUUGUGCCGGUUUCCUGCCGUAAAAACCCCUUAAUUUUUCAAGGUUGACCUCGGAUCAGGUAGGAAUACCCGCUGAACUUAAGCAUAUCAAUAAGCGGAGGAAAAGAAACCAACAGGGAUUGCCCUAGUAACGGCGAGUGAAGCGGCAACAGCUCAAAUUUGAAAUCUGGCCCUCGGGUCCGAGUUGUAAUUUGUAGAGGAUGCUUUUGGCGCGGUGCCUUCCGAGUUCUCUGGAACGAGACGCCUUAGAGGGUGAGAGCCCCGUACGGUUGGACACCAAGCCUCUGUAAAGCUCCUUCGACGAGUCGAGUAGUUUGGGAAUGCUGCUCUAAAUGGGAGGUAAAUUUCUUCUAAAGCUAAAUAUUGGCCAGAGACCGAUAGCGCACAAGUAGAGUGAUCGAAAGAUGAAAAGCACUUUGAAAAGAGGGUUAAAUAGCACGUGAAAUUGUUGAAAGGGAAGCGUUUGCGACCAGACCUUUUCCUAGCGGAUCAUCCGGUGUUCUCACCGGUGCACUUCGCCAGGUUAAGGCCAGCAUCGGUUUCUGUAGGGGGAUAAAAGCCCUGGGAACGUAGCUCCUCCGGGAGUGUUAUAGCCCUCUGCAUAAUACCC
rnacentral:rRNA from 1 species